CUUGUUUUGGCAAAGAUCCCUGGACAGUUCCUUUUGCUUCUGUCUCAUCCCGCCUGAUGGGCACGUGGGCUGUGCAUGCUAGGCGCUCAGUGGUAGCUCCCUCCCUCCCUCCAUGGAGACCAGCUCCUCUCAGGACCCAGCCAAAGCAGAUCUGCUUCCUUAUCAGCUCAAGACAUGACAAGUAAAGACCGAGAAGAUCUUCUAGAUGUCAGGGCAGACUGGAUUUGAGGCACAGGACGAGGACUAUGGGUUUGCCUGUUUAUCAUUCCUGGAGGCCGGAGACCAGGUUGGUGAAGCAUGGCCACCCCGCCCCCCACUGCACCCCAUCACCACCACCACACACAUGUUCACACCCUUACACUCUUGUCUCUUUCAGGGGCCAACUGUGUCCAGAAACCUUGUUUUCUUGUCUCAGAGGCACUGGAGCCUGAGGUGGCUGCAGCAGUGGCAGCUGAGGUUGGGAAGUUUAAAGACCAGAGCUAAGAAGGUAGUGACCAAGAAAGUCCCCUCCAGGACUGAGAUGUCUGGGGUGGAGCAGAGUCCAGUGGGAGUCUGAAGGCACAGACUGUGCUUGGAGAGCCACAUAUCUGAGCCUUUGCCAGAGAGGACUGGGGGACCCCAGGGCCACUCCAUUGCCCUUUCUGGGCCUCAGUGUCCUCACUGUGGACAAUUGGGACUCCUAUGCUGUGACUUGGGGUAGGGGGAGGCAGAGGUCAGCUCAGCAGAGAGAACCCCAUCACUGCUGCAGCUGUGUAGCAGUGCCUUGCAGGUGGUGAGUUCCCUGUCAUUGGGGCUAUGAAAGCAGAGGCUGAGGAGGACUCCUCGAGCAUGGCUGGGAUGGAGCAGCAGACCUCCUCCUGGAAGUUCUUGUUCUUAUUUGAACUCUAAUUGUUCCAGACAGCCUCUUCAAAAGCUGGGCAGUCCUUCCUGGGUCU
rnacentral:lncRNA from 1 species